rnacentral:lncRNA from 1 species
UGGAGGGCCAGCCACCUGCUUAGUCGGAGUAAGAAUGCCUGCAGAGACCUGGACCAGAGUGGGCAGAAUGGAGAUGGAGUCUCACUCUGCCGCCCGAGCUGGAGUACAGUGGUGUGAUCUCGGCUCACUGCAACCUCCACCACCUGGGUUCAAGCGAUUCUCCUGUCUCAGCUUCCCGAAUAGCUGGGACAACAGGGCCUAAAUAGUGUUCCUUGGAGAGAAAAUUACCCUGGGAAUGAAUAAACAAGAGCAAUGCAAAUGGU